GGAGUUUCUGUGAUCGUUCUGCCGGACGGUCGUCGAGUAAAAAAUCGUGGGUGUAGGCGAAGGGCAUGCGAAAGGCCCGGCGUAGAGGGUAAGACCCCCGUAGCUGAAAUGUCUGCGACUCGAUAUGAGACCACCCAAGUAGCAUAGGGCCCGAGAAACCUUGUGUGAAUCUGGCGGGACCACCCGUUAAGCCUAAAUAUUCCCUGGUGACCGAUAGUGGAUAGUACCGUGAGGGA
rnacentral:rRNA from 1 species